GGGGAGUCGAGGGACACAGCGUUUGUUUAGUCUAGGGGAUUCGAGGGACACAGCUUCUGUUUAGUCUAGGGGAGUCGAGGGACACAGCGUUCUGUUAGUCUAGGGGAGUCGAGGGACACAGCUUUCUGUUUAGUAGGGGAGUCGAGGGACACAGCUUUCUGUUUAGUCUAGGGAGUCGAGGGACACAGCGUUUCUGUUUAGUCUAGGGGAGAGCGAGUGGAACACAGCUUCUGUUUAUCUAGGGGGUCGAGGGACACAGCUUUCUGUUUAGUCUAGGGGAGUCGAGGGACACAGCGUUCGUUUAGUCUAGGGGAGUCGAGGGGAACACAGCGUUUUGUUUAGUCUAGGGGAGUCGAGGGACAAGCGUUCUGUUUAGUCUAGGGGAGUCGAGGGAACCUUUCGUGUUUUAGUCUAGGGGAGUCGAGGGACACAGCUUUCUGUUUAGUCUAGGGGAGUCGAGGGACACGCGUUCGUUUAGUCUUAGGGGAGUCGAGGACACAGCGUUCUGUUUAGUUAGGGGAGUCGAGGACACGUUCUGUUUAGUCUAGGGGAGUCGAGGGACACAGCUUCUGUUUAGUCUAGGGUAGUGGGGACACAGCGUUCUUUAGUUAGGGGAGUUGAGGGACACUGCUUUCUGUUAGUCUAGGGGAGUUGGGGACACAGCUUUCUGUUUAGUCUAGGGGAGUCGAGGGACCAGCGUUCCUGUUUAGUCUAGGGAGUCGAGGACACAGCGUUCUGUUUAGUCUAGGGGAGUCGAGGGACACCUUUCUGUUUAGUCUAGGGGAGUCGAGGGACCAGCGUUUCUGAGUUAGGGGAGUGUGAGGGACAUCUGAGUUGAGGGGACACUGCUUUCUGUUUAGUCUAGGGGAGUUGAGGACACAGCUUUCUGUUUAGUCUAGGGGAGUCGAGGGACACAGCGUUCUGUUUAGUCUAGGGGAGUCGAGGGACACAGCGUUCUGUUUAGUCUAGGGGAGUCGAGGGACACAGCGUUCUGUUUAGUCUAGGGGAGUCGAGGGACACCUUUCUGUUUAGUCUAGGGGAGUCGAGGGACACAGCUUUCUGUUUAAGUCUAGGGGUCGAGGGACACAGCGUUUCUGGUUAGUUAGGGGGUCGAGGCAACAGCGUUCUGUUUAGUCUAGGGGAGGUAGUUGA
rnacentral:lncRNA from 1 species